UAUGGACUUGACUCUGAGAUAGUAGCUUCUUUUUGUGAAUCUUUUGCUGCUCAUGUUGAUCUCCCUAAGGAGAAGUGGUUUAAAUAUAAUCCUCCCGUUGAAGUAAAAGUAGUUGCACCUAUUAAAGUUGAAGAAAAGACUAUCACUUAUAAUGAUCCUAUUGUUCCUACUGCUUAUGUUGAGAAACCACCUUUCCUUGUUAGAAUAAAGGAUCAUGCUAAAGCUUCAACUGUGUUCAAUAAAAGUAAUAUUAGGACACACAAACCUCCUGAGCAAGUUAAAGUUGAACCUAAUAUUGCUAUGGUUAAAGAUCUCUUGGUUGAUAAUACCGAUGGGCAUGUUAUUUACUUCUGCAAUGAGACUGCUAGAAUUGCUAAACCUAGUGCUAAAGAUAAACAUAGACCUAUGGUAGGCAUGCCUGUUAUUUCUGUUAAAAUAGGAGAUCAUUGUUAUCAUGGCUUGUGUGAUAUGGGUGCUAGUGCUAGUGCAAUACCUAUUGACUUAUACAAAGAA
rnacentral:rRNA from 1 species